CUAUGCUGGGGUUUGAAAGGGGAUUCCCCUUUCCCGGUUUAAGGAGGGUGCUCAGGAUGCAGAUCAAAGUCCUGAGGCAUCCGCCGAAGGGAAC
rnacentral:ncRNA from 1 species